UUAAAUCUUAAAUUUUAAAUACAGAUAUUUAAAUUUUAAACCCCAAAUUUCACAUAUCAUAUUUUAAAAUUUGAAUUUCAAAAUUCAAAAUUUUAAAUUUAAUAUAAAAUUUAAAAUAAUCUCAAAUUUUAAAUUUUAAAAUUUAAAAUUUUGAAGUUUAAAAUUUAAAAUUUUAAAAUUGAAAAUUAAAAAUUAAAAUUAAAAAAUUUAAAAUUUAAAAGUUGACAAUUCAAAAUUUUAAAUUAAAAUUUUUAAAAUGACGUAUUGAAAGAAUUUUGGUAGUUGGAGGGGUGAACUUAUAAUUUUAUUUAACAUGUAAGAUUAACGGUCUUCAAUAAUCCAAAAUACACACCCAUCUCUCAGUAAUAUUUUGGUGUAAUUCUACACGAUUUGUAAUGCUACAUUACUAACCUAAUUAUAUACCAAAUAAACCAAAACAGUAGUCCUGACAGGAUUGUCUAUAAUCCUGUUAGGAUAUUGCGAACCAAACAUACCCUAAACUAAAUGUCAAAUAAAAUAUUCGUGUAUU
rnacentral:lncRNA from 1 species